AGUGAACGCUGGCGGUAGGCCUAACACAUGCAAGUCGAACGGCAGCACAGUAAGAGCUUGCUCUUACGGGUGGCGAGUGGCGGACGGGUGAGGAAUACAUCGGAAUCUACUUUUUCGUGGGGGAUAACGUAGGGAAACUUACGCUAAUACCGCAUACGACCUACGGGUGAAAGCAGGGGAUCUUCGGACCUUGCGCGAUUGAAUGAGCCGAUGUCGGAUUAGCUAGUUGGCGGGGUAAAGGCCCACCAAGGCGACGAUCCGUAGCUGGUCUGAGAGGAUGAUCAGCCACACUGGAACAGAGACACGGUCCAGACUCCUACGGGAGGCAGCAGUGGGGAAUAUUGGACAAUGGGCGCAAGCCUGAUCCAGCCAUACCGAGUGGGUGAAGAAGGCCCUCGGGUUGUAAAGCCCUUUUGUUGGGAAAGAAAAGCAGCAGGUUAAUACCCCGCUGUUCUGACGGUACCCAAAGAAUAAGCACCGGCUAACUUCGUG
rnacentral:rRNA from 1 species